rnacentral:rRNA from 1 species
UAGAUGCGAGAGUAGAGCAUAUCAAUAAGCGGAGGAAAAGAAACUAACAAGGAUUCCCUUAGUAACGGCGAGUGAAGCGGGAAGAGCUCAAAUUUGAAAUCUUCAAGGUUUUACCUUGACGAAUUGUAGUUUAAAGAAGUGUUUUCUGUUGAAGUUUUGGUAAAAGUUCUUUGGAAUAGGACAUCAUAGAGGGUGAGAAUCCCGUAUUUGACCAUUAUUUUCAGCUGUGUGAUACACUUUCAAAGAGUCGGAUUGUUUGGGAAUGCAGUCCAAAAUGGGUGGUAAAUUUCAUCUAAAGCUAAAUAUUGGCGAGAGACCGAUAGCGCACAAGUACCGUGAGGGAAAGAUGAAAAGAACUUUGAAAAGAGAGUUAAACAGUACGUGAAAUUGUCAAAAGGGAAGCGUUUGACACCAGUGUUGUUUUUCCGAAAAUCAAUUACGAAUGUUUUAUUUUUGAGAAGUUAUGACUUCAUCGGCUUGCUUCUCUCUUUUCUUGAAUCUUUUUAAUGCACUUUUCGGUUAACAAGUCAACAUCAAUUUCUUUUGUUGUAAAAGGGUCAUUGAGGAAGGUGGCUUUCUUUUCGGAGAAAGUGUUUAUAGCCUUGUAGCCUCUGCAAUCGGAGAGAUUGAGGUCUGCAGCGUAGAUCCUUCGGGGUUAGAUACAGUUUGUGCUAAGUUAUAGCUCUUCAUAGACAACUUGUUGACUAUGUUAGUCUUGUAGCUUACUCGCUUAUGCUAUUUUACCUACGCUUAGGAUGUUGACGCGCGUGUGUGCGUG